rnacentral:rRNA from 1 species
GUACUGGUUGAUCUGCAGUAGUCAUAUGCUUGUUCAAGAUUAGCAUGAUGUGUAGUAUGAAAAUUAGAUGUGAAUGCGAAUGGUCAUUAAUCAGUUAUAGUUUGUUUGAUGGUAUUUGCUACUCGGAUACGUAGUAUUCUAGAGUAUAGUGCAAACCCGAUUUGGAAGGGAUGCAUUUAUUAGAUAAAGGUCGACGGGGCUUUGCCGUUGCUGCGAUGAUUCAUGAUAAUCGACGGAUGACGGCUUGUGCGGCGAGAUCAUUCAAUUUUGCCUAUCAUUUCGAUGGUAGGAUAGUGGCUACUAUGGUGGUGAGGGUGACGGAGAUUAGGGUUCGAUUCGGAGAGGGAGCUGAGAACGGUACAUCAGGAAGGCAGGGCGCAAUUACCAUCUGACGGGGAGGUAGUGAAUAAUAAAUACGGGUAUACGAGUUGGUAUUGGAAUGAGUACAUUAAUCCUUAACGAGGAUCAUUGGAGGGAGUUGGUGCAGCGCGGUAUUCAGUCCAAUAGGUAUAUUUAAGUUGUUGCAGUUAAAAGUCGUAGUUGGACUUUGGGUUGGGUCGGCGGUCGCAUAGGUGUGACGGUUUAUCGUCCUUUGUCGGCGAUGCGUCUACCUUAAUGGGCGGGUGUGCUCGGGUUGUUACUUUGAGAAUUAGAGUGUCAAGCAGCUACGUCUGUAUAUUAGCAUGGGAUAAUAUAGGAUUUCGGUCUAUUAGUUGGCUUCGGGAUGGAGUAUGAUUACAGGGACAGUCGGGGGAUUCGUAUUUCAUAGUCAGAGGUGAAUUCUUGGAUUUAUGAAGACGAAAUGCGAAGCAUUUGCAAGGAUGUUUUCAUUAAUCAGAAGAAGUUGGGGGUCGAGACGAUAGAUACGUCUAGUUACAUAACGAUGCGACAGGGAUAGCGGAUGUUGCUUUUAGGAUCGUGGACUUAUGAGAAUAAGUUUUUGGGUUCGGGGGGAGUAUGGUCGCAGGCUGAAUUAAGGAUUGACGGAAGGGCACAGGAGUGGAGCUGCGGUUAAUUUGAUCAACGGGGAAUUACAGGUCAGAUAGUAGGAUUGACAGAUGAGAGCUUUUCUUGAUUCUAUGGGUGGUGGUGCAUGGCGUUUUAGUUGGUGGAGCGAUUUGUCUGGUUAAUUCGUUAACGACGAGACUCAGCUGUAAUAGCUAUGUGGAGGUAUCUCAUGGCAGUUCUUAGAGGGAUAUGGCUUUUAGGCACGGAAGUUUGAGGCAUAAGGUUGUGAUGCCUUAGAUGUUUGGGCGACGCGGCUACUGAUGUAUUCACGAGUAUAUAGCUUGGCGACAGGCCGGGAAUUUUGAAUUUCAUCGUGAUGGGGAUAGAUAUUGCAUUGUUGGUCUUAACGAGGAUUCUAGUAAGCGCGAGUCAUAGCUCGGUUGAUAGUCUGCUUUGUACACGCGUCGUCUACGAUUGAUGGUCGGUGAGUGUUAGGAUGUGGCGAGUGGGGGUUCGUGCGCGACGUCGGAGAUUCAUGACUUAUAUUUAGAGGAGGAAGUGUAAAGGUUUCGUAGGUGACUGCGGAAGGAUAUUGUCGACCUGCAGAGAAGACCGUGAAAGUUAACAUUGGCUUGCGGGACGAGCAUUUGUUUGGCUUGUGAGUCUUGUGAGUGCGUUAUGGUGGACAUACUUUGGUUUUGUCAUGGAUGUAUGUUGAAAUAAAACCGGCGAGAUGUGCAAGGAAACAAAUUAAGAACGUGUGUUGCGCCGUUGCGGUGUGCGAUGUUCGUGGUUCUUUGUAACUUAAACGAUUCGGCACGGAUAUUCGGCUACGAUCGAUGAGAAGUAGAAAUGCGAUAUUGGUGUGAUUGCGAUCGUGAACAUCGAGUUUUUGACGCAGUUGCGCCGAAGCAUUCGGUUGAGGGAGUUGCUGGGGUCAGAUAGUGCCCAGGAUCCUAUAGGGUGUUUGUGUUGGGGCGGAGAUUGGUUCCGUGCAUGGGUGGUUGGCUAAUAGGAGUUCUCGGAGGGAGCGGUAGUGGUGGUUGAUAGAGUGUUCGUGUGUGCGUUUACUUUUUGAGAGUAGAUGCUCUUAAGUACUGAUGUGUUGUUUAUGAGAUGCUUCGAUGGACCAGGUAGGCGGGAUACCGUGAGUUUAGCAUAUAUAGCGGAGGAAAGAACUUAUAGGAUUCCUUAGUAGGCGAGCGAACGGGAAGCAGCUUGAAAUGGGCGGUUGUGUCGAAUUGUAGUCUGGAGAGGUCUCAGGGCGGACGGGCAAGUCUGGAGGGGGGCGGAGAGGGUGAGAGCCGUGUGCCGGACUGUGCACGAGGCGUGUUGGAGUCGGGUUGUUUGGGAUGCAGCCAUAGGGCGGUAAUUCGUCAAGGUAAUAUGGGUGAGACGAUAGAACAGUACGCGAGGGAAGAUGAAGGAUUUGAAAGAGAGUCAAGAGUGUUGAAUUGUGGGAGGGAGCGAAUGGGGGCGGGAUGCGUCGGUGGAUGUGGACGGUGUAGUCGGUCGCGAUCGGUCGGGACGUGGACGGUGCGGAUUGGUAGGGGCAAGCAGGCUGUUGAUAUGCUGUGGAGAUGCGUUGUGCGAUGUGGUUGGCAGGGGCGUACGGGUGUUCGGACUGGUGUCUGGACGGCUGCGGGACCAUUCGGCCGUUUGAAACGGACAAGGAGUUGACAUGUGUGCGAGUCACGGGUGAGUAACCGCAGGCGAGGAAGUGAUUGGCGGGAUCCUCGUGGGGUGCACGCGACGACUUGAUCUUCUGAGAGGGUUCGAGUGUGAGAUGCUGUCGGGACCGAAGAUGGUGAACUAUGCUGAGGGGGCGAAGCAGAGGAACUUGGUGGAGGCCGAGCGAUACUGAGUGCAAUGUUCGUCUGAUUGGGUAUAGGGGGAAGAUAUGAACGUUAGUAGCUGGUUCCUCGAAGUUUCUCAGGAUAGCUGGAGCCGGGUGCGAGUUUAUCGGGUAAGGAAUGAUUAGAGGAUGGGGGGCAACGCCUGAUAUUCUAACUUUAAUAGGUAGGACGGGCGGCUGUUUGUUGAGCGGCAGGAUGAGAGUCAGUGGGCAUUUUUGGUAAGCAGAAUGGCGAUGCGGGAUGACGGAAGGGGUUACGGUGCAAUGGCGUAACUAGAACAAGGGUGUUGGUCGAUUAGAGCAGGAGGUGGUCUGGAAGUCGAAUCGUAAGGAGUGUGUAAAUACUGCGAUAAUAGCCGAAAUGGAUGGGUUAAGCGGCGAUACCGGCGUGAGGCAGUGCAGGCCGAUGAGUAGGAGGGCGGGCGGUCGUGCAAACUUGGGGUGAGCCGGGCGGAGGGCGUCGGUGGGAUUUGGUGGUAGUAGAAUAUUCAAUGAGAAUUUGAAGGCGAGAGGGGAAGGUUCAUGUGAAGGCAUUGCAUGGGUUAGUCGAUCUAAGAGGGGGGAAGCCGUCAGAUAGGUGUUUACGGAGUUCGAAGGGAUGGGUUAAAUUCUGAACGGGAGUGGCGGUGAGGACGUUAGGGAUUCGGAGAGUCGGGGGGGCUCGGGAGAGUUAUUUUUCUGUUUAAGCUGCCACUGGAACGAUCAGUGGAGGUAGGGUAGCGGUGGAAGGAGACGUGGCGGUGUCGGUGCGCCCGGGGCCUUGAAUCGGAGGACGAGUGUCCACGCGGUGUAUCAUACGAUAGGUUCAAGGUGAAGCUUGGUCGAUGGAAAUGUAGGAAGGGAAGUCGGCAAAUGGAUCGUACUCGGGAAAGGAUUGGUUGAGGGUGGGCGGGGGUCUGUCGACCGUCGGUGUCGGUGGAUGCUGAGUGCUUCGGGCGAGAGGGGUACGGUGCGGCGGGGGACGGACUGGGAAGGCUUUCGGGGGCUUCCGGGCGUCGAACAGCAUCAGAAUGGUAGGAAGGGGAAUCGACUGUUUAUUAAACAAGCAUUGCGAUGGUCUGGGAUGCUAAGCAAUGUGAUUUUGCCAGUGUUGAAUGUCAAGUGAAGAAUUCAACAAGCGGGGUAACGGGGGAGUAUAUGAUUCUUAAGGUAGCAAUGCUGUAUUAAUUAGUGAGCGCAUGAUGGAUUAACGAGAUUCAUGUCUGUUAUAUCAGCGAAACAGCAAGGGAGGGCUUGGAGAUAGCGGGGAAGAGACCUGUUGAGCUUGAUUAGUCGAUUUGUGAAUGAUUGAGAGGUGUAGUAUAGUGGGAGCCUCGGGCGAAGUGAAUACAUACUUUUAACGUUAUUUUAUUAUUCGUGAAUCGGAAGCGGGGCAGCUUUUUUGGACCAAGGCGCUCGGCGGGUGAUCGGGGGAAGAAUUGUAGGUGGGGAGUUUGGCUGGGGGGCAUUGUUAAAAGAUAGCAGGUGUCUAAGAUGAGUCACGAGAAAGAAUUGUGUAGAAGAAGGGUAAAGCUCGUUUGAUUUGAUUUCAGUAGAUAGACGUGAAGGUGGCUAAGAUCUUUAGACUUCGGAUUUGAAGCUAGAGGUGUAGAAAGUUACCAGGGAUAAUGGCUUGUGGAGCAGCGUUUAGGACGUUGUUUUUGAUCUUCGAUGUCGGUUUUAUAUUGUGAAGCAGAUUCAAGUGUUGGAUUGUUCACCAAUAGGGAAGUGAGCUGGGUUUAGACGUGUGAGACAGGUUAGUUUUACCUAUGAUGAUAGUGUCGCAUAGUAUUAACUAGUACGAGAGGAAGUUGAUUCGCAAUUGGUCAUGGCUUGGUUGAAAGCAGUGGGGAAGUACGUGCGCUGGAUUAUGAUGACGCUCUAAGUCAGAAUCGGGUAGAAGCGAGCGUGUGCCGUGUGUUUGCGACAGCAGU